ACUAUACUGAUAUAAAUUGUUUCACAUAACAGGCUGUGAUUCAUGUGUGGAACGUUAGGGGGUAAGAUGAGAUAAGGACUUGUCUCAAAAUAUUAGACUACACUGCUUCUUUGUGAUCUGUGAACCGUCCAAGGACAUGGGUACUGCAAAAAAGUGCUAACUCCACAGGGUUUACAAAUCAGAAGACCAAACUCAGUGAAGUCCUCCAAUACAAUAGUCCACAUGGCUGGCUGUGUUUUGCUACCACCGGAAACAGAAAACGGCAGAAACAGAAAACGGAGGCAGUGGGAUAACCUAUUCAAAGAUCUGUCAAACCCUGUCUGCAGAUUGAGGUCCCAAAAGAGUAAGGGUACAUUAUUGUAUGCCAUGGAUUAUAUGCGUACAUAGCAUAUUUUGUGAACAAAAAUACAGUUCAAAAGUCACACAAUGUAUAAACCUAUUACAACUGGAGCAGGACAACCCUGCUGGGUGUGCACACUUCUGUUCCAGCCCAGCACUAACACACCUGAUUCAAUGUAUCAAACCUAAUUAGUUAAUAAUGAAGUGUGCUAUUGCUGGGCUGGAACAGAAGUCUGCUCACCCAGUAGAUCAGGGAUCAGUGGAGCAAGGUUGGCCACCUCUGGUAUUGACUUUUUUUGUUCACCUGAAAUUGUUUUAUUAAUAAUAGCCUACUUGUUACUAAAAUGUCUUACCUUUACAUAUGAGUUAGCUUACUUGUACACUUUGAAAUGAUAUGAAAGUGUUGGUUCUUUGUUAAGUGUUUAAACAUGUUUUAAUUAACUUAACUAUUAUUGAAGAUGUUGAUUAAUCACAGAUCACAACCCUGCAAUAAAGAGGGGAAGAGAAUGUCUCUGAUUUGUAUGUUUCUGUGUUGUAUUCUCAAAGGAACAUUACCUUUUUGUUCAGUCAUAAGCUUUCCAAUUUGUUUUAUUUGAUUGUCACAAUUAUUUCAGGAUAUCAGCCAUGUGUACCCAUUUUGCAGCUGAUAAUGUCAUCCAAUGCAGUCAUAGGCCUACAGCAGUGGUUCCCAACUCCAGUCCUCGAGUACCCCCAACAGCACACAUUUUUGUUGUAGCCCCGGACAAACAUACCUGACUCAACUCAGAGGGCCUGAUGAUUAGUUGACAAGUUGAAUCAGGUGUGUUUGUCUGGGGCUACAAUAAAACUGUACUCUUGGGAGUACUCAAGGACCGGAGUUGGGAACCACCGGCCUACAGUAGACUGGCAUUAGCCUUAUGGGAAUUUGCAAUGCACCCCUUGACAUUGUGCAUCUGAAGUAGAGAAUAGCUUAACUCGCACACUGUUUACAUAUUGUUCAACUAUAUGUUCUCAAUUUAAAAACGAUACAAGUAGACAAUGUAUAUGAGGCUAAUCAUUAUACUAGAUUUUGUAAAUGCAUUGUGCUGACGUUACAUUUUUUUGGUGCAAAUCCAACCCUUGUAAUCUAGGUGUUGAAAUGUCUGGAAGCAGGAGAUUGGAUCCUUAUCUUAAAACACACACACAACUACUACUACCAAGUCCAAUGCCAGAUACUUUUCUACAAGAAGGUCUGAGCCACUGUGAUAAUGAAGUUUUCCUAAGACUACCACAACAAUUACAUUGUCUGUGCUAAAUGUGUUUAAAUUGUAAAGAAAGAAAAUAGUUGGCAUAUAAGAAAUACUUUUUAUUCAAUGGGGCUAGGCAAAGCAGAGAUACCAAUACUUUUAAUUUCACCCAUACAACAAUAUAGCCUAUUAUUAAAGUACAGUAUGUUUACAAUAUCAUAUAGUAUUUUACACGUUCCAAAUUACAUUUGAUAUAUUCAUACUGUUUAAGGGGGCACUUUUGUCAUGACGACACGGUGAUGGUGCUCUACUCAAAUGACACAA